AUAUCGACGGCGUAAUUCGGCAAUCACAUGACUCGUUUGCGGGGUCUAAAAAUCUCCGCCUCUGUGGUAUUUUUUUAAAGAAGAACAAACUGACAUCAUUCCUUGAAGUUUUCGCAGAAUUUUCCUCGCACAGAGAAGAAAAAUCUUGGCAGUUUUAAAGUUUUGCCGUUGAGUAGUUUUCCGUAUACAAAAUAAAGUAUGACAGGAAGUUUGCGACUUCGCAAACCGAAUUAUGUGAUCGCUGACCCACACCAUCGAUAUGUCGUUUUUCCUUAGUACGGUAGUAUGUUUCACGCACCAACGUUUUUUUACAGGUCCACGCCGGAAACAAGCGAGAGUGCCUCUGUGACGUCAACAGCACCUGCGCACGCGCAACCCUUUGAACACGAGCACCGCUUCGAGACGUUCGACACGAUCUCCUACUCCAAGCUCUACCAAGAGAACAACGGAUUCGACGCUAUUCCGGAGAAGGUGGACGCCAUCUUGAAAGCACAGGCCAAGCCCUACGGCAAGAAACCCAUCACCUAUGGUCACCUAGGCUUCACGGGUAACUUCUUCAACUCACCGAAGCCGGCCCCCAAAAAGGGAUCGCACCCCCAACCCUCUACUCAAGGACAUGCACCAGCACAUGCUCAAGGACACCCGCAAGGAUACGCUCAAGGCUACGGCCAAGGACAAGGCCAAAGCUAUGGCCAAGGACAAGGCCAAGGUCAAGGCUAUGGUCAAGGACAAGCCUACGGAAAGGAGCCCAAGAACCACUCUAAGGAGAAGCCCAGGAAGAAGGCCAAUAGUGGAAGACACCGCCCUGAGCAGAGUUACGAGGGAUAUGGUGACGAGUAUCAGCACGCCACUCACAAUACUCACAUGAGCGAGCGCACUGAUACAGAAGACACCAGCGCUCACUACCGAAAACGCGAACCAGCACCUACCUACGAGUCCGCAUGGCACUCCUACGCCGACCAUUCCUCCUCCUGGCAAGCCAAAGAUCAACCCAACCAAAACUCCUACACAAACGCGAACGGCCAAAAGCCGUACUCAAACGCCCAGAACUACAACCAAAACGCCUAUCAAAACGCCUACGAGAACGAAGACAGCAACACGCACGACCGACCAGCCGAAUCCUCCUCGUACCAAUCUAGUCAGAACCACAAUCAGCCCAGUCAGAACUACGUCCAGCACACCCAGACCUACCAGAAGCCCGCUCCCACCCAGAACAAAAACAAGCAAUACGAACAAAGCAAUCAGGGCAAACAAUACGAACAGACUAAACAGACCUACGAAGAUGAGCAAGAACAAAGUCAAGGCUACGGGCAGGUGAACCAGAACUACCAGACCCAGCAGUGGCAGUCUUACUCUAAGAAACAGGAAGAACCUAAAGCUAAGGGGUCCGACCAGACCUACAGCUACCAGAGCUUCGAGCAGUCCGACCGGAGGGACCAAGGCUUCGAUGGCAGUCAAAAAUACGACAAAAGUAACCAGCAGUCUGACCAGGGUAGUCAAAGGUACGACCUGAACAACCUGAACAGUCAGAAGCACGAACAGAGCGCGAAGGACGAAGGUCAGACUAGCCAGAAGCUGGACAACUCAAGUCCUGACUUGACGAACAUGCAGUGGCAGUCGUUCCACAAGAAGCAGGAACAAGGGGUCCAUGGAACAGCCGCGGGUCUCAACGCCAGCGCGAGUAGUGUGGUGGACCGCUGGACCUACAACGAGGAGCCUAAUAUAUGGGGCAACGUUCACGACGGCUACAAGAGGCUGGUGAGUGCCCAAAGUUCCGGGGAUGUUGGUUCUGAGUGGAACGCCAAGUUUUCCUUCUGGGAUGGCAAUAACUACAACCGCUACCCCGUCGUUACCAGCGAGCCGGAUGUGCAUAAUGUCAAUUACUUGAAGCAGUACUUCAAGAGGAACAACGGCUAA
rnacentral:lncRNA from 1 species